rnacentral:rRNA from 1 species
UGGCAGCGAGCGAAAGUAAUCCUGAAAGUGAUAUUGGUGGGGCACACCGUUUGUUGGAAAAACCAACCAAUCCCUGUUGGCCAUGCGACGACUUGCAUGCCCUUAAUUUUCAAAGUCUUCCAUUGACCAGCGAGGUAGUGAACACUAAACACACACAUCAUCGCCCAAGUACGUACAAAUCUACACAUCUUCUUCAGGCUUCAGGCCUUCAUCCAUUCUGCUUCCAUCUCCUCCAUCAGGCUUGAGGCUUCGACCAGAUCACAGCUCUCCAGUUACCACCAGCCAUGGGUGCCAAGACCACCUCAUGCUUCACCUUCCUCAAGGAAGCGCUGGUCCUCCCCACGCGAAACCCCAAGCUCUUCGCCCCCAUCCUCAUCCUCCUGGCCAUCAUCGCCUUCCUCGUCCCCGCGGUCAACGUGGUCCUCAUCCAGCCGCUCACCGCCGAGAUGCUCCGCCACGUCACCGAGAUGCAGACCACCGACCCCUCGAGCGCCGAGUUCGCCAGGCUCCUGGAGGAGAUACGACAGGAGGCCAGGGAGCUCGUCCUCAUCGCCGUCGGCCUCUUUUUCGUCACCCUGGCGCUCGUCUUCGCCAAGCAGAUCCUCGCCUUCUCCGCGGCCUCCACGACCUACUCCGGCGACCGCUACUCGCUCGCCGAGCUCCUCCGCAGGCUGACCAAGUGGGCCAACCUGAGAGGCCCUCUCGUCACCAUGGGCGUGGUCACCGCGCUCCAGCUCACGUUCAUGGCGCUCCUGGGCGCCUACCUCUCCACCGUCAUGCGCCACGCGGGGGCGCUGUCCGUGCAAGGCGCGCUCUUCGUCCUCGCCUUCCUGGCCUUCAUGUACUUCGGGGUGGUGGCGGUGGUGGGCGUCGCCGUGUCGGUGGCCGACGAGGAGUGCCGCGGCGUGCGCGCGAUCCUGCGGGCGUGGCGGCUCAUGACGCGGGUGAGCAGGAAGGAGGGCGCCCUGCUGGCGGCGGUGAUGGUCCUCCUGUCGACCGCUGUGAGCCCGGUGUAUGCGCUAGCGCUCGUGUACGCCAAGAAGAGCAUGGCGGUGGGGCUGUGCCUGCUGUUUGGGUAUGCUCUUCUUUCUGCUGCGGUGGAGCUGUUCUACAUGGCGGCGGCCACGGUGUACUACUAUGAGGCCAUGGAGAGCAAGGAGGUGGUCCUGGCUUUUGAUGGCUACUAUGCCGAGAUACCUUCCCGUGAGGCAAAUGUCUGAUUGAUCGGCCGGCACCGUAUAAUGAGUCAUAUACUUUGUGGUGCUUCCUAGCUGUUCAUUAUCAUUGUACUACUACGUGUAUAUGUUACUAUGUCAGUCCUCGAUCAUAUAUACAGAAAAGUAGGCAAAAUCAGCAGCCAUCGGCCCCUCCAGCCAGGCAGAUGUUUGUUCUCAAGGACGCCAUUCACUUUUGGGUGCUUUCCGCUUUGCGGCGGAGAGGAUCAUCCAUGGAUCUGCGUGGCCGGGAAUGGAUUCUAGUUCCGAUUAGAUCUGAGUGGACAGGUAUUCUUGAUUUACCCUCGCUUGAUUUUUGGGAUUAUCCACUCUUUUGGUGUGAGUACAUCUCAGGAACGUUGCCUUCUUCGGGCAGGUUCCCCUUGCCUGCGAUUGGGGGCGAUGAGUACACACCGGGGGCGCACCCCGUGGCAGAUCUGCUGAGCAGGGUAGCCGAGUCCGGCAUUGGCAAUGUUGGAGUUGUGUCGAAUAUUGUGUACAAGGUAGGUUACAGUUGGACUUAUAGUUGUACCGUGUUUACAUAGGAUGUGGAGUCGUGUCCUAGUAGGACACUUGUAUCCUAGGCCUCUCUUAUAUAGUGGGGGUAGACACACAAUGUAACCUAUGCCAGCAUAAUAACACAGGAACGCAGGGGAAGCCAGCGGCAUGUGCCGGCGUCCAGAGCGACCUGGUGUGGUAUUGUGAUGGUGUCACGGGGAGGAGCGCCCGUAGUCAAGCCCCGGGGAUGUAGCCAUAUCGGUGAACCUCGUUAACAAAUCUUGGUGUCGUGCUUGUGUGAUUGCUUGGUCCUCGGAUGAUCGACGGAGUGCCUCGGAUUUAUUCUAUCAAGUGGUAUCAGAGCUAGGUUGUUCGAAGGUUGCUGAAUUGUUGAUCUAGAGGAAAGAUUGUUCGAGAGUUGGGCGAGUACAAGGGC